AUUGCCCCAGUAACGGCGAGUGAAGCGGCAACAGCUCAAAUUUGAAAUCCGGCCCCCCCGCGGGGCCCGAGUUGUAAUUUGCAGAGGACGCUUUUGGCGCGGCGCCUUCCCGAGUUCCCUGGAACGGGACGCCACAGAGGGUGAGAGCCCCGUCCGGUCGGACGCCCGAGCCUGUGUAAAGCUCCUUCGACGAGUCGAGUAGUUUGGGAAUGCUGCUCAAAAUGGGAGGUAUAUGUCUUCUAAAGCUAAAUACCGGCCAGAGACCGAUAGCGCACAAGUAGAGUGAUCGAAAGAUGAAAAGCACUUUGAAAAGAGGGUUAAACAGUACGUGAAAUUGUUGAAAGGGAAGCGCCCGUGACCAGACUCGGGCCCGGCGGAUCAUCCGGCGUUCUCGCCGGUGCGCUUCGCCGGGUCCGGGCCAGCAUCGGUUCGCGGCGGGGGAUAAAGGCUCCGGGAACGUGGCUCCUCCGGGAGUGUUAUAGCCCGCUGCGCAAUGCCCCGCGGCGGACCGAGGUACGCGCACCCGCAAGGAUGCUGGCGUAAUGGUCACCGGCGACCCGUCUUGAAACACGGACCAAGGAGUCGUCUUCGUAUGCGAGUGUUCGGGUGUCAAACCCCUACGCGUAAUGAAAGUGAACGCAGGUGAGAGCCUCGGCGCAUCAUCGACCGAUCCUGAUGUUCUCGGAUGGAUUUGAGUAAGAGCAUACGGGGCCGGACCCGAAAGAAGGUGAACUAUGCCUGUAUAGGGUGAAGCCAGAGGAAACUCUGGUGGAGGCUCGCAGCGGUUCUGACGUGCAAAUCGAUCGUCAAAUAUGGGCAUGGGGGCGAAAGACUAAUCGAACCUUCUAGUAGCUGGUUUCCGCCGAAGUUUCCCUCAGGAUAGCAGUGUUGAGCUCAGUUUUAUGAGGUAAAGCGAAUGAUUAGGGACCCGGGGGCGCUCUUCAGCCUUCAUCCAUUCUCAAACUUUAAAUAUGUAAGAAGCCCUUGUUACUUAACUGAACGUGGGCAUUCGAAUGUAUCAACACUAGUGGGGCCAUUUUUGGUAAGCAGAACUGGCGAUGCGGGAUGAACCAAAACGAAGGUUAAGGGGCCCGAAUGGACGCUCAUCCAAAACCACAAAAGGCGUUUGUACAUCUUGGACGCCGGAACGGUGGCCCGGGAAAUCCGAAACCCCUAAGGAAGGGGGUAACAACUCACCUGCGCAAAGGGCAAACCCCCGAAAAAGGAGGGGGCUUAAAGGUCCC
rnacentral:rRNA from 1 species